rnacentral:lncRNA from 1 species
CUUAUUGUUGAAAUUGUGGUUUUCACUAUUUUAAAAAAAGAGAAUUAUCUGAUACACCACGAUUUUUCUGUACAAUUGAUUUUACUGCUUGAGAUAGUGUUAUUGUGCCUUUAUGAGAUUUCAUGCUUUCAGUGAUUAUUUAUUUUUAUGGCUUACUGUGUUGGAGUACUCAGUUUACUCUCUGCACCUCGUGUGCAGAUGCAGGUAUUGAUCACCCGGUAGCAGGAUAUUAGCUGAUUGAAAGUAUUUCUAUUAUAGCUGAGUAAGGUGACCGCCAGCGUUCGCGGCACCAUAUCUCUUCCUUUGAUUCUAAAUUUCCAAUAUGUAUAUUACUAGUUUUAUAGUAGUGUUCAGAUUCCUUAGAUGCUCGUGACUUGUGACACCCUGGUCGGGAUAUGUUGGGCUGUAACCACCGGUUAUUAUUGUGUUAAGUUGUAUUUAUUUAUUUAUUUAUUUAUUUAUUUAUUUAUUUAUGUUUAAAAAUUGUUAAAGAUACAAUUUGGGUUAGUUGGCUGGCAUUGUCUUCACGAGAGGCGCCAUCACGACCGGGUUUGGGAUAUUGGGUCGUGACACCUUAGUUGCUCAUGACUUGUGACAUCCCGGUCGGGAUAUGUUGCGCUUUAAACACUGGUUAUUAUUGUGUUCCAACUAUAAACACUGGUUAUUAUUAUGUUGGGCUGUAUGCUCGUGACUUGCAA